rnacentral:rRNA from 1 species
CGGAGGGUGCAAGCGUUGCUCGGAAUCACUGGGCGUAAAGGGUGCGUAGGCGGUCUCGCAAGUCUGGCGUGAAAGCCCAAGGCUCAGCCUUGGAAGUGCGCUCGAAACGGCGAGGCCGGAGUGCCGGAGGGGAGAGUGGAAUUCCCGGUGUAGCGGUGAAAUGCGUAGAGAUCGGGAGGAAUACCGGUGGCGAAAGCGACUCUCUGGACGGCAACUGACGCUGAGGCACGAAAGCGUGGGGAGCAAACAGGAUUAGAUACCCUGGUAGUCCACGCCGUAAACGAUGGACACUAGGUGUCGGGGGUAUCCACUCCCUCGGUGCCGCCGCUAACGCAGUAAGUGUCCCGCCUGGGAAGUACGGUCGCAAGAUUA